UAUGGAGCGAACUGUCAAAAACUGCUCGACUGCGGGUGCUCCAUUGGUAAGUUUUUAUCACAUUCUAUUCAAAGAAUUUAUUAUUCCAUUUACCCAAACCAUAGAACCGAAAAAUCUGGUCCAGUGAAUGAACUUUUAAACUGGCAGGACUUUUGGGUUCACUAAAAUGGCAACGAGUUCAAACCGGAAAGCUCGCUCCAAGCUGGCAGUCAGCGGCUGUGUUAACUCUGGAGAAUUUGGAAGCUGCUCAGUGAAGCCGAUAAAUUUUCCAAGUCCCGAAUUCUGAAUGGCAUCAGAGUCGCGGGUCGAAAUGAGCAGUUUGUUGCUGGCCGGUUACUCCACGGCAAUCGUUUCCACUUUCAUGUUGGUGCUGGAGGAGUUCACUUGUUACAGAUGGGCCACAGAGUGUAGAACCAUUGCUAGCUCACGAUGUGGCCAAUUUGUUCUUGGUUUGAAACACAAAACUUAGUUCCUGUUGAACAAGGAUCAGAUCAAAAUGACGAUUUUGGAUAAUUUUCGAAUGUUUUCGAGCACAGUUUGCAGAAGGUGCUGCACGCGUCAGCGAUUAAAGGCUUGGAACCACUUGAAUCAUACUUCGCCGAGUUGACGCGUCUCUGUAGCCGGGAUAGAUGUAGAAAACGAGUUUAGUUCAUGACCGGCGCAUCGUACUAUUGCUCGACACCCCGACGAAGAUUAUUAAGUACUCGUCGAGCAUAGUAUAAAAACUCCAACUGCUCACCUGCUGCUGAACAUCCUCACGGACAAGCCGGCCAGCGAAGUGCACGUUCUCGGGCUGGUACUGAUGCUGCUGUCAUUCUGCAUCGAGCAUCUCACCUACCACAUCAAGAAUUGCAUCAUCAACCAGAACCUGCUGUGGCGGAUACUAGUCCUGAUAAAAAGCACCCUCAUGUUCCUGGAUCACCGUACUCAAGGACGACUUUUACGUAAGGCAAAUCGUCAAAUCGCUGUACUCGUACUUUGACGAGAGCUUUGGCAAGUAGUUCGACGACGUCCAGUACGUGCAGAUGUUCAAGACACUUAAGAACUAGUACGUCCAGCAGGACGACCGGCUCGAGAAGACGGAAAAGGGCGGCGUUUCCCUAGAGAGCAGUCCUAUUUUGUGGAACAGUAGCCGGUACCGGCACGACCGGCGACAACUCGACGAGGAGGAAAACUUUGCCAACUUUAACUGCAACAGAUUUUGAUCUUGCAUGCAGUGGUUGCAGUGGUUUUCAUUAAAAUGUUUUUCUAUUCCAGGCCAACUUUUUGCGACAUGCUACGCAAAAUUGCUAAAUCCACAAUCACGGUGGCCUCUACCGGUGAGAGCAACGACACCUCGAUCUUAAUUAAAAUCAGUAUCAAUCUCGGUGCAAAAAGAGUGAGAGUAAAAUUUAAUUAGAAUACAUUUUCUAGUGUUAACAUCACCAAGAAGAUUCUGAAAGCAUCGUCUGAAGAAAAUAUCAAAUAAUUGAUAAAAAUAAAAUAACCUUUAACACCAAUUACCAAAUGCUCCGCUGAAUAUAGAAUCCAAUGUAAAUAUCGGAUUCUAGAUUCAGCGGAGCAAAAUUUUUUUUUGCUUUUGGAAAUUUACAUUAGAUUCAUUGGAAAUUUACACGAUUUCAAAAGAUUUUCAAAUUGAACAAUUACAAUGAAAGUCAUGUAAAUUUCCAAUGAAUCUAAUGUAAAUAUACAUCACUUAUCAUGAUACCUUUUGGUACAUGAUAAAUAAUGUAAAUUUACAGGAAUAUUUUUUUCUGUGCACAGAAAAAAAUAUGUAAAUUUCCACGUCAUGUAAACUAUGUUUUAAAUGUAAACUUGGUACAUGUAAAAAUAAAAUCAUAUGUAAAAUGUUAAAUCAGAUGUAAAAGGCGAUCAUGUAAAAAUAUAUCGCAUGUAAUCUAUGAAUCAAAUGUAAAUGGAACAGUUUUUGCCAUUUAUUUACAAAUCUGAAACAUGUAAAUCUUGAAAGAAUGUAAAUAACAAUCAAUGUAAAUUUGAAAUAAAUGUAAAUUUUCAUUGCGACUGCCAAGUGACAGCUAAUCAAAAUAAAACAGUUCAAGUGUGUUGUUGUUAGGAAGCGGUCGUUCAAAAACAUCCAUAGAUUGAUUCGAUUUUAAAAUUAGAAUAUUUCGUGUCAAAUUUAGUCGUGUUUGUAACGAUAAGCGAAUUGGAAGCGGUGUCCAGGUGUAACAUCAGCGCAUCCACUCCAACGCGGAACCACUCAUUUUCUGCAAACUUAUUCCCAUCAGCUGGACUCUUCCGAAGCGGCCGUAAUCUUCAGUAUCAGCAUCUGAGUUCCACCGGUCAGCCAACCAACGCAGCGUACGCAAUUGGCCAUACCAACCUCGGGCAUCCGGAAGUCGACAUCGCAGAAUACGCUCGGAAGCAUCAAACUACUUUUUUCUCCAACCCGUUGUGCGCGUGCAAUUCGAACUUCGAGGUGAUUCUUCCGGGGCAAAUGGGGACAGUUUGAGGUUGUGCUAAUUUUCGCUCUACAUUCUUCCUCGAGUGCACAAAGCUAAAGAUGUCCGCAAUGUAAAAAAUCCAGCCGAAUCGAUUUCAUUAAUCUGGAACAUUCCGCAACUCCAAUGCCUUCUGGGCUCUCCAAAAACACCGGCUGAUCGGAGCAGGGAUGCUUGUCGUUGGGCCGCUUAAUUUCUGAUCACAAUUUCAAACUACUUUUGAUGUUUUUUAAUAUUUUUUGAAGAAAUCUACACAGCAAAAAAUUGUGUAAAAAUGGAAGCUUUAAAAUGGAAUGUUGAAAAAAGGAAUGUGUAAUUUUACAUCUGUUUUAGACGAAUUGCUGCUGAAAAUUGAGCCUAACACAUUUUACUCUUAAAAUGUUUAUUAUUUCGACGGAAGGUGCAAUUUUUAGUCGUUUAUGAUGCAAUAUUGCACACAAUAGUUUUCGCACCUCAACUUCGGAAGACAGCAAAUUUUACAACUGUCAAAAGUUGUUGUUGUGAAUGUUGCAGGAAGUUGCUGGUCUUCGCGUCCGGGUGUUUUUGCUGCUCCGGCGUGGCAGAUUCCGUCGCCGUCGUCUGCUUUUGAAGUGUGCGUGUGUGUCCGUGUCCGCUUCUUCUGGACCACUUGGAAAAAGUUGCCGGUGCGGUCCGAGAGUUUGUGCAGUUCGGGAAUCGUGGCAAAUUCCGUGGCCAUCGUCUUGAGCGUGUGUGUUUGUUUUUGUGCAGCAGCUGGUUUAGUUGGAGGAAGUUGCCGGUCGUCGCGUCCGGGAGUUUAGGACGCUCGGGAUCCGUGAGACAGAUUCCGUCGUGUGCGUGUGUGCGAAUGUUGGUGCUUCUUCUUGUCCAGUGGGAGGAAGUUGACGGUCGCUGCGUCCGGAAGUUUGUUUCGCGAUUCCGUCGUAAGCGUGUGUGUGAAUGUUGGUGCUUCUUCUGGACCACUUGGAGGAAGUUGCCGUCCGGGAGUUCGUGCCGCUCUGGAUUCGUGACAGAUUACGUCGUGUGCGAGUGUGCGAAUGUUGGUGCUUCUUCUAGUCAAGUUGGAGGAAGUUGCCGGUCGUCGCGUCCGGGAGUUUGGGACGCUCGAGCAAACAAUAAUCGUGGCAGAUUCCGCGGCCGUCGUCGUGUGCGUGUUUAUUCGUGUGUUUUGGUGCUUCUUCUGAUCCAGUUGGAGGAAGUUGCCGAUCGCCGCGCCCUGGAGUUCGAACCGUCCGGGAGUUAAGGACGCUCCGGCGUUCAACAUUCGUGGCAGAUUUCGUCGCCGUCGUUUGCGUUAGAAGUGGGUACGUGUGUGUGCGUGUUUUGGUGCUUCUCAGGACCACUUGGAGGAAGUUGCCAGUCGUCGCGUCCGGGAGUUUGGGACGCUUGGGCGUUCAACAUUCGUGGCAGAUUCCGUCGAUUGGCAUCACAACCGGUGACAACUCGACGAUCUUUCUGUCCACCAAAAAUCGAGGACAACGAGGACUUAGAUAAGUUUUUUUUUCUUUCGAACAUGACACUUUGUUAAAAAAUUUGUAAUUUUUCAGGUGAAUAUACCAAGUGUGAUGAUAUCUCAUGGAACUUGACUGCUGCUUGCAUCAUUUUGUUUUGGUAAGUAAUUUUCACUAUUUAGUUUUUGUUUUUUCUUCUUUUUAGUCACUUUACUGUUAUCUGGGUAAAUCGGGACCAAACAAUUCAAACAAAUAAUUCUCGCUUGCUUUCACGAAUUUUAGAAUUUUAGAAUUUUAAAAUUUUAGAAUUUUAGAAUUUUAGAAUUUUAGAAUUUUAGAAUUUUAGAAUUUUAGAAUUUU